GUAAUUGAAUCAUGGGGGCAGGUCUUUCCUGUGCUGUUCUCAUGAUAGUGAAUAAGUUUCGUGAGAUCUGAUGAUUUUAUAAAGGGAAGUUUCCCUGCAUGUGCUCUCUUGCCUGCUGCCACGUAAGACAUGGCUUUGCUCCUGCUUCAUCUUCUGCCGUGAUUGUCCACCUCCUUUGAUCCACACGAUAUCCUUCAUGAGGAAGAUAUCAGCAUCCGCAUUAUAUGGACAAAGACAGCAGAGACUCAGAGAAAUGAAGCACGCACCAGUGCUUAGUCAAGUCAAAAUGUUCUGAACUCUGGCUCGCCCUCAGCCUGAGCCGCAAAAUAGUCUGGCCUCGGAGAAACAGUCUUCAGUUUCCUAUAGGAUCGUGCCACCCAUUCAUCCCCCUUCUCAUUCAUUCUUGCCUGUUUACUCCUCUCUAUGAAAGAAAACCCCUGUUUGCCUAACUCUUGGGGAUGCCUGCAGAUCUUGGGGUCAGAGAAGCUCCCUGCUGCAAUAAUCGCUUUCCCCACUCUGCAAUAAUCCUUUUAAAUAAAAUCUUUCCUUACUAAGUCCAGAUUUCUUUUUUAUUUGACAAUGACCACAGGCAAGUGAUUUCACUGCAGUUUCCUCCAUCUGUAAAGUAAGAAAAAUAUGUUGC
rnacentral:lncRNA from 10 species